UCCAUAGCCCUACCCUUCCUCAGGGCUCCAACCACAUGAUGCACAGAACUCAGCUGUAGCCCGCAUCACACGGUGCUCUUCAGUCCAGCCAUGCGUCCUUCAGCGGCUGGGAUACAUUCUCGACAAUGCAUCAUCAGGCUUGAGUGACAACUUGAGGACAAGGCGGCGCCCCGACAAGAUUUCACACAGCAGCUACGGGGGCCAGAGAAGCAGCACCUCAUGGUGUGGCAGGAGAAGGAGGACCCGCACAAGCAAUUGGUUGAAGCUUCAGAGACAUUGAAACCCCAAGCCGGAGAACUGAAAGAUGCCCAUCAGCAGCAAAAGCUGGCCCUGCAGGAGUUCUUGGAGCUCAAUGAGCUCAUGGCAGAGCUCUACUCCCAGAAGCAGAAGGUGUGGGACAAGAAGGAGGAGAUGGAAGUAGCCAUGCAGAAAGUUGACACGAUGUGGCAGGAGAUCUGAAGAUCCAAGAAGCUCAGAAAGAGGAUGCUGUUUAGUCAGGCGCAGUGGCUCAUGCCUGUAAUCCCAGCACUUUGUGA